CUCCCCCACAUAGCAAAAUGCAUAGAAGUCAGUGUACUGCAACACAUAAGGACAUAAGAGAAAUAAAUGUAGGUUUACAGCACUAAACAACCACUCAUUUACCACACCGGGAACCCCUGGGUAUCCAUGACAGUUUGUCCCGGGAGUUACGGAUCAGAAGACGCAUGAUGCAGCUUCUAAAGAACACUGUGGGGCGACUUUGAUCUCGUUUAGAGUUUAAUCUGGGCGAUCAAGCUUCAGAGCUAUGAGGAGGAACGGCAAUGCUGGCCAGCUUCUUGGGAAACUAGUCAGAAGAAUAGAAAGUGGCAGUAAUGACCAGCUGCCUGCCUUCUGGUGGUUCUGGGCUGACUGAAGGAACACAGCCGCACAGGCGUGGUGACGGGGGUGAGGAUGAGGAUGAAGACAGAUCCAU